rnacentral:rRNA from 1 species
UACGGAGGGUGCAAGCGUUGUUCUGAAUUACUGGGCGUAAAGCGCGUGUAGGCGGUUUCCUCAGUCUGGUGUGAAAUCCCGGGGCUCACCCCCGGAAGUGCAUCGGAUACUGGGAGACUAGAGUACCGGAGAGGAGGGUGGAAUUCAUGGUGUAGCGGUGAAAUGCGCAGAUAUCAGGAAGAACACCCGUGGCUAAGGCGGCUCUCUAGUACGGUACUGACGCUGAGACGCGAAAGCGUGGGGAGCGAACAGG